GGGAUUAUGGCAUUAUUCAUUCAUUCACAUAUUCACUCAUUCAUUCAUAUACUGAGGAUUGUUGCUGGAUAGAAUACAAUAAUGAUUCAGAAGCAAAUCCUGCUUUUGGGAAGCUCAUAGGCUGGCAAGAAAAACAAGACAUAGCCACGGAGAACUAUAAUGUUUGGCAGUUUUGUAAGAGAGAUGCAGACAGAACCUAAUGUGUGGACAGAGGAUGGAGAGAUCGCCAUGGCUGACAAAUCAUGGAAGACUGCCUUGCAGCAGACUUUGUAUAAGGCAAGUCAUAAAGCAAGCUGUAACCCUGUGCAUGACACCAUGUACCUGACACAACCGUCUUUCUUCUCCCAGUGCAUCUCCUGGCUGUCCACCGGUAUGUGGAGCUUGAUCAUUUCCUGGGCUGCCUUUCAGGAAGGCCCAGGUGGAAUUAAAUGCAGAGUGCCUCUGCUUCUGUUGGAUUUCCCCCAAACUGACCACAGAUCAAGGAGAUAAGAUGAUGCCUUGAGUUAAGUCAGGUUCCAAAACAACAACACUGACUGCAGAGAACUGCAAAGGUAGCAGGAAACCACCCUCCUCUCUGGCAAGGAGUGUUAGUUUUUGUCUUUCCCUUCUCGGCUAAGCCGUGGUACCCGGAGCAGUGGAUACAGAAACCCGGGAGAAAAUCUUCUGGAUACCCAGGAACCUGCUGGGUCCCUGAAGAAUGUCAGUGAGAAACUCAGCGUUCCUGUGCCCUGGGCUGACCCCCUGUUUAGGGAAGGCAGCCCAGAGGGCUCCUAAUGCACUCAGAACUGUAUCAUCGCACCUGCAGCCUGGAGGAGAUGACCUUCCAUCAAGACGCCUGCUAUUAAAACUUUGUUUAAGGAAAAUAAAAAGAUAUCCUCAUUCUAAACAUGGGACACAGUGAUAGGUGUGUUCUGUACUUGACAAUCAAGGGUUCCAGUUUGCUGAGGGGAAGCCUGGCACAGUGGCAAGAGGUGGAGCUUUGGAAGCAGAGUGGGGCUGAAUCACAACUCACCCAGUCACCAGCUGUGCAGCGUUGGCCAAACCACUUAGCUUUUUACAUUUCUUUAUUAUUAAAUAGGAAUAAAAAUAAUGGACUAGAGAGAAUAAGUACCUGACCCUUAGUAUAUACAUAAUAAUGUAGAAUAAUUUCUUCUAGUCUUAAAUGUUCAACAUCAUGGGCAUUGCUUUCUCAGGGAGGUAGCUUUCCUCCUCACAAAUUUACCAAUUGAAGGAAUGAAUCUUUAGAGAAAAAAUGCUGAAACUACAGCAAGCUAUUCCUGUCCUUCAGCUAGCUCUUAUGUCCAGUGUCUUAUAAUUAUUCAUCUUUACAACUUUCUUUUCCACCAGACUGGGAGCUCCUUGAAGACAGUGACCACUAUGUCUUCAAUUCUCAGCACAUAGUUCUUUCUACCUCAGCUACCUUAUUUUGAGAUCUGUACAAACUACAGAGUCUGUAGUUCUUCUGGGAUUUUUAUGCUCCCAGCCUGGUUUGAAGAGUGACUUUAAGCAACACCUUUAGGAGCACAUCCAAUCUUCUGAAAACCAUCU
rnacentral:lncRNA from 1 species